rnacentral:rRNA from 1 species
ACGGGAGGCAGCAGUAGGGAAUCUUCCACAAUGGGCGAAAGCCUGAUGGAGCAACGCCGCGUGAGUGAAGAAGGAUUUCGGUUCGUAAAACUCUGUUGUAAGGGAAGAACAAGUACAGUAGUAACUGGCUGUACCUUGACGGUACCUUAUUAGAAAGCCACGGCUAACUACGUGCCAGCAGCCGCGGUAAUACGUAGGUGGCAAGCGUUGUCCGGAAUUAUUGGGCGUAAAGCGCGCGCAGGUGGUUUCUUAAGUCUGAUGUGAAAGCCCACGGCUCAACCGUGGAGGGUCAUUGGAAACUGGGAGACUUGAGUGCAGAAGAGGAUAGUGGAAUUCCAAGYGUAGCGGUGAAAUGCGUAGAGAUUUGGAGGAACACCAGUGGCGAAGGCGACUAUCUGGUCUGUAACUGACACUGAGGCGCGAAAGCGUGGGGAGCAAACAGGAUUAGAUACCCUGGUAGUCCAYGCCGUAAACGAUGAGUGCUAAGUGUUAGGGGGUUUCCRCCCCUUAGUGCUGCAGCUAACGCAUUAAGCACUCCGCCUGGGGAGUACGGUCGCAAGACUGAAACUCAAAGGAAUUGAC